UCCGUCAUUUUCUUCUUCCCUUUUCUGGUUCACGCUCUUGCGGUCACUGGUCUCAGUCUCUACCUUCAUGGUUUCGGAUCGAAACCCUAAUCGGUGCUGAAACCAUUAGCAAGGAUCGCGAUCGGAACAGGAAGAGAUGUGAUUCUCGGGAACGAACUCCGAGCACUGGCGGAGGCUUUGGCGGCCGCUAAUCGACUCCGUUUUGGAAUCUUUCUAGGGUUUCUGUGUUGCGAAUCGCGCACAUGAAAGAUCCGUUGGAUAGGACGAAGGUCGUGCUCCGGCGCUUGCCGCCGGCGAUCCCUCAGGCGACACUGAUGGAGGAGAUCGACGGCAGGUUCGCUGGCCGGUACAAGUGGUUCUGCUUUCGCCCGGGGAAGAACAACCGAAAGAAUCAGCAUCAUUCUCGAGCCUAUAUCGAUUUCAACAGGUCGGAAGAUGUGGUUGAAUUUGCUGAAUUCUUUGAUGGACACAUAUUUGUCAAUGAAAAGGGUGGUCAGUUUAAAGUUCAUGUUGAAUAUGCACCAUCACAGCAUGUUCCAAAGAGAAGGUCUAAGAAGGAUGUCCGUGAAGGGACUAUAAUCAAGGAUCCUGAAUAUCUGGAGUUCCUUGAGCAUCUUGCAAAGCCUGCUGAGAAUCUUCCUAGUGCUGAAAUUCAGCUGGAGAGGAGAGAGGCACAAAGAGCUGGUGGACAGAAGGAUAUGGUCAUAGUGACACCUCUGAUGGAAUUUGUGCGGCAAAAAAGAGUUGCUAAGAGUGGGUCUCAGAGAUCUGUUAACGGGAAACUUGGUAGAAGAUCUAGAGGAGCUUCUUCUAGUGGCUCUAAUCCUUCUUCCAGACGAAGCUCUGAGAAGCGACGGGUCUCUAAACCAAUGUAUGUUUUAAGGGACAGUAGAAGGAAUAUCAGUGGAAAGGACAAACCAACAUAUAUAUUAGUAUCUAGAAAAGAUGAUCAGCAGCUGCUAGAUAAAUCUAUUGCUGUAGCUUCAGCAAGUUCAAUAGAAGCAUUAGAAGAAGCAAAGGGUGUUGAAACUGGAAAGAAAAGAAUCUUGACUUUGAAAGCAAAAGUGACAGAAGACUAUCAUGUAUCUGAUGGUUCAUCACGGAAUGUGAGUUCGGUGAAAAAAUCCAGUUCAUAUACUUUUAAACAGAAUCAGGGACAUGAGACUAGUGGAAGAAUUGUAAGGAGCAUUCUAUCUAACAAGGAUAGCUGUCAGUCUUAUGUGACUGCAUCCCAGUCAGAGCAGCAGACUCCAACAGGGAACUUGGAUAAAGACAAGCAUCCACCUACUCCUCCCAAUAUGUGCUCAAUGCUGAAGGUUCACAUUGCUAGCAAGCCGCCACUUGCUUCCAUUUAUGAUAGCGAAGGCAAAAAUUCCCUAGAUGAUAAGGUUCCUGGUAAUAAUCUCAAUUGUCUUGUAUCCACUAGUGAAAAACAUAAUGGGUGCACAAGAAACAAAGACAGACCUGAUCGUGUUGUCUGGGCUCCUUUUCGUUGUUCAGAUGGAUUGCAUGCUGAUGAUGAAACCCUUUCUUCCUGUUCUGUACCUGCACAGAGGUCCUCAUGUUCAUCGGAAAGCAUCUCUCUUUCUCAACAGGCGACUGGAAUAAAAGCUGGAGAUGAUGAUGUGGCCUGUAUGGGACGUCUCAAUAAUCCAUCUGCUGGCUAUGACAUACCAACAAGUCUUGGAGAAAUCAAAGCGCACAUGUCUAAUGCAAACCGAACUGCAGAAGUUAAAACUUUUGGAGGUGGACGUGUCAGUCCUUUUUCUGCAAAGAAUGGUUCCCAUAGAUAUAUUGGGCACCGUGGACCUGUGCAUGGUAUGAAGGAAGUUGAUGCUUCUCUGAAUUAUCGUGAGGGAAAGCCUUCUAAAAGAGGAGGUCCUGCUGGGUAUGGUUCCCAUGAGAGACAAGUGUGGGUGCAGAAGUCAGGUUCUGGUACAUAAUUUUUUGAAUGGUAAGCUCUAUUUCAUUUUGAUCCAUCUUUUUCUCUAUUCAACCACCCCCACCUUCAAAAUACAUACUGAUCGGUCUUCAUUUGGAGCUCAUAAUAACAUUAACUAGUUAUGGGGCUAGAUACAGAGAACUCUUAAAGUUCAGUCAAACCGUCGUCAGAAAGAAGGGCAGGAAACUGCAUGGUCCUUUUUUUCAGGAAGUUGAAACACAUAUCUUCUGCUUGUGCUGUGCCUGAAACUGUUAUCUUCCUGAAAGUUAGUUCCAGAUAUCCCAUUUGCCACUGUCAUCUUCUUAGUUGAUUCAACUACUUAGCAUGUUUCUCCAACAUUUUCUUCUUACACCAUGAAUUUAGAAAAUACUUCACAGCCUUUGGCCUUAUGUAUGCAUUUCAAGCUGUGGUUUCUGAUAUUUUUAUCUAUUUGACAAUAUAUUUAACCUCUUCUAACACCAAGCUCAUAAAGAGUAGGCAUAAUGAAAGUGUUGGUGGUUGCUACCCAUCUAAGCUUCACAAACACCAUCAGAAUAUGUACGCUGUGAUCUGCUUUUUGGGUUUUAAAGGCAUAAUAUACUGAAUUGAUUCAGCAUUCUGAUACUUGUGUUUUGAUUAAUACACUAUUACACAUUCUGUUUGAUUGAUCUUUGAUAUUGCUAUCUCCGUUUACAUAGAAUGCAUGAAAUAGGUGUUUUGAACUGUUAAAUACCUGUCUCGUUUUUACGAAUUUAUUAUUGCACUAAACUUGAUGCUUCGUGACUUUGUUUAAUUGUUACCUAUUUAAAACAAGGCACUAGAAUAACUGAGAUCAUCACGUGAUAGACAAAAAUAGACAUUGUAGUUUUUCCAACAUAUUCUUCAUCCAGCUUGUGGAACGUUGCUUUAACUUUUCUACUAAAGAUUCUGGUCCUGUCCCCACUGUUAAUCAAUAUGUUAGAUACUAUUCAAUGGGUAACAUACCAUCUUGCACAAAGCUGCACCUGCAAUAUCCUAAGUUAUCACUUGCUCUGUAUAAAACUAGAGGUUUUUUUAAACACAAUUUUGGAGCAAUUUCAAUUCCAAUCUCAGAUUUAUCAACUGACUGAGAAUGGAUUUAUUAGGAAAAGAUAUUUUGUGUAAUGGCUCAUCAUCACAUCUUUCAACACUUACCUUCAUCACCUUCACAUUCACUGCACAUCCAAGGUCCUUUGAGAAUAAUUUAUGGCCUUAUCCCUGAAACUCUUAGGAUUGUUAUCCUUUUGUUCUAUUAAAGGGGGUAAGGGCUAUAGUUUUACUUUUAUGAACCUAUUUCACCUACUUCCAUUAGGAACUUCAUUUAAGGUUCUCUAAGGGAACUGUUUAUAUUACACAAACAUGAUCUGUUUGUAGGUCAUCCUCGUACAUAACUCCUGCCUUCUGUAUGUCUACCUAUGGGCCUUGAUUAUCCAAAAAAUAUUUUGAUUCUCUUGAGGUUGGUUGAUUUGUGUAUUGAGGCUUGUUUGAAAUAUCAAAGUAAUUGUCUGUUGAUGGGUCUGAAAUCCAACCCGCAGUUCCUUCAAAUUGAAGAAUGAGCACCACAAAAAACCUGAAUCCGUUAUUAUCAAAUUCUCUUCAACUUCUAUGUUUUCUGACAAAUACAUGGAACAAUAAGGUAUGGCUUCCACUUCUUCUAAUUUAUUGACAAUUUAGAUAGACAUUUCUAACAUUAUUAUAUUAUAUUAGAUGUUGUUAGCUCCAUACGGAGUUUUAAAAAACUUGACAUCACAUAUGUAGACAGGUACCUAGUCGCACUUGCCCUUGCCCAUUGCUUUGACUCUUAGAAUAUUGUUCUGUGCCAAUCUAUCAACUUAAGUUCAUUCAUAAGCAUGGUGAAGCCCCUAUUUCCUUGAAUAUAUUGACUUGUGUGUACAUGAUAGCUUGGUGAUUUUCAUAAUGCAUUGCUAUAUUUCUUUCUAUGCAAAUCCAUCAUCUUUAAGUUGAUUGUAAGCAUGGUGAGACAAUUUUUUUGACUUGUGUAAUGUACAUGAUUGCUUAGCGAUUUUUAUAAUGUAUUUGCUAUGUUUCUUUCUGUUUAAAUUGUGUAGCUGUGUCCCCCCCACCAACACCCGGCCUCAAGAGACACCUUUAGUUUCUAAAUAGUUGCUUUCUCUUCCUUAUCUUCAGUGGUGCGCUCUUGAAAUAGUUUUUCCUUCUAACUCUGUUCACCAACUGAAGUUGCUUUUCUUCUGCCUGAGCAUUGCUGAUCCUUUUCUGUAGCUUUUGUGAAACUGUGAGGAGAAGUUGGUUUGGGGCUAUUUUUGCCUAACAAUUUGGAUAUCAAAACAAGCCGUAACAGUAAACCCAUAUUGGGCUGAUGUUGAUGUAUGCUGGUGCUGCAUUCUUCCUUUUUCUAAUCACAGGAGCUGGUGAAUUGUAAAACAGUGUAUUAGUUUGUUACUAGCAGAUGACUGGAGUACCUGUUAUUGCUUUGCAAAUCCAAAGAAGGGUUAUUGUUGAUGGGAUUUCAACUUCCCAGGGUUACUGGACCUAGGUGACAGCAAUUGUAGUUUUUGACCGAUGCCUCUUAUUUCAUUGAGGUGAUGGAAUAUCUCAUGCAAAGCUAUAUAGCUCUGGAGCGCUCUCUGCUGCUUCUACAAGAGCUUCACUAGGGAGCCAGGAACCUUCAGUGAGUGAUGUAAUAUAGAGAAAGAUAGCUCAACUCUCUCAUGACUUUGCUGGGUUUCCAUAGAAUUUUGUGUCUAGGUCAUUGGCUCAAGGUCAAUGACUGAAUAUACUAGGGAAGAAAUGAGGAGUGCUGCUUGUCAUCCAUUGUCCAUACAAAUCUUAAAGACAGAAGCCAUAUAUCAGUUAGCUGGGAACUUCUUAGUACAGAAAACUAGAGCUUGUUCUGUUGUGUAUAGAUGAGAGCUUGGGGUUCCCAUCAUCUGCAUCACCAUGCUGAGGUGGCUGCCUGCAUGCCAAUCAGCUGGCUUGGAAGAGUGGGGAGGUUGAUUGAGAGCUAACAGGUUCUUGAUUGGUCUCUGUUAUUUGGAUGAACUAAUUGCAUUGCUUCAGUGAUAUGCAUAGCCAAUUUUCAGGUGUUGCUGUAUAUCUUUUCCAGCAGAUCCUGGUGUCUUUGAUGAUCACUCUCUUUUCCUGGAGUUCUCUGUACUUUGGUGUGUGGUGUUUACAAAAUGGUGUCUGAUCCAUAUUAAAUUCUCUUGCAAGGUGUCCUGUGUUUACAAAAUGGUUUCAAAUCAUAUCAAAUGCUCUUCUGACAUGGGGCUUGUGCUGCUUCUAAAUGCAUUCUCUUCCUGAUGCCAAUGCCAAAUUCAUGUUUGCAGUUUUGUUGUCUGGUGAUGCUACAGAUGAUGCUUGUCUUGACAGAUGGCAAAUUGAGUACUGCCGGAGAUUCUUUUCUUUUAAGUGACAUGAAACCCUGUCAUGUGCAUGAGCUGCCGUGUAUGCGUCGGCAAUGUGCUCGCUCUAGGAUAUUGUCUGUUCUUUUUUGUGUUAGGAUAAAUUUGAGUAUUUUAUUUAAAUAAUAUUAAUUUAAAAAAUUAAAAAAUAAUAUUUUUUAUAAAAUAUUUAUCAAAAUAUUGUUAAAAAUAAAAUCAUUGUAUUGUAGGAUGAUUUUAUGUGUUAAUUUAUCACAACUCAUAUCAUGUGGAUGGUUGAGUCAGCAGCGUAGAGUUGUUCUAUAAAAGAACGACUCUAUAAGUUGUUUUAUAAAAGGACGACUUUAUGAGUCGCUUUAUAUAGAGUCGUCUUAUGAUAGAGCGAUUUUGAUCGUGGAUUUGUAUCGAGAGAUCAUUAGAUUUUUCAAUCAUCGAGAGAGAGGUUGGGGGGGCGAUGGGGAGGGGUGAUGGAGGUCGAGAGAGAGGAUUGAGGGAUCGGAAGAAAAAAAGAUGGGGUGUUUGUUUUUUUUUCUUAAAUGAUGGAGAGAAGUGAGAGAGGGGUUUAAUUUCUCCUCUCUUUUGAUUAAACACUUCUCUUCGCUCUUUUCGUUAUUUAGGGAAAAAAAAAUCAAACACCCUGCCCCUCUCCCUCUCGAUCCCCCCCUCCUGACUCUCUCCCUCUUGAUCCUUGCUGUCUUUUUCCAUGCCUCUUUCUAAAUCUUUUUCUCGGUGGUUGGAGAGUCUAGCAGUCUCUUGAUGCAAGAUUGGUGGUUACUCAGUCGCUCUAUCAUAGAAUGAUUUUACGUUGCUGAUUUUAUUAUUCACAUGACGUAAGUUGUGGUGAAUCUGUAUAUAAAGUUGUUCUAUGAUAUGGUGAUUUUGUUUUGAACAAUAUUUUGAUAAAUAUUUUGUAAAGAAUAUUAUUUUCAUAAAUUUUUUUAAAAA